CUCUGCCUUUUCCCCUAAUUUUUUUUUUAAUUUCCUUUCAGGUUUGUAGAGUCCUUAAUUUCAUAACACUGUUUCAAAACAGUGAGCAAACCUUAAUCUGAGAGAGAGAAGAUAGAGGGUUUGAAGAGAGAUUGGGGUUGAAGGGGAAGGGUUUCAGUCAGCGGCGAGACUAGUUCAGCGGCGAGACGGUACGCUUCUUUUGACUCUUCUUUCGACUCUCUCAUUCCAGUCGGUUCCUCUAUCGACUGGGUUGAAAUGGUUCCUCUAUAUCUCUAUGUGACUGUGUAUCCUUGGAACAACAAUGAUGUAGUUUUACAAUCCGAACAGAUCUUAAACCCUAUGGCCAUUUGGUUCGUCUCCACUAUGGCCAGAGUCAAACCCAUCUUCCCUGCGCUCUCAUUCUUUUAUUUUUUUAUUUUUAUUUUUUUGAACAGCCUUGCACUCUCAUUCAUGGCUCUCUAACUCAAUGCAAAUGAUCUCAGAUCCAAAACACUUAAAUCCCCUUCUAAUCAGUCAAAAUGAAGAGCCGACUGGCCAUAGGGUUUCAAUUUAUGAAUAAUCAAGCUUUGUGGGCUAUAUUUGGAAGAUACUUUCAAUUGAUUUUCGCUUAGUACUGCAACUUGUUAUUUUGCCCUAAUCAGUUGAAGGUUAUGAGUAUAAAUGGGGAUGACUAUUGAAUUGUGCUUCAACUCUGUGACUGUGCAGUUGAUAGAUGGUUAUUUAUCUAAGAUGUGCUUCAACUAUGUUGAUUCGAUUUUGUUUAUGCAGAUAUUUGAUUUGUUUGAUGUGAAAUGCAAUGGGGUUAGGAGAAUUUGUUCAUUCAUUAGGCAUUUUUCAUCCAAAUGCACUUGUAACAGACAUAAAUGAAGGACUCUAUAUAGCCCUAAAUAGAUAAGAAUAACUGUUUUAAUCUCAAGUUGAAUCAGUUUUGCAGUCAUUCAGCCUUGUGCAAGAUUGUUCCCAAUAUUCAAUGAGAAAAAUAAGGAAAUUUCUUGUCUAGAUGAACUUCUAGUUGUUGCCUUUUUCAUCAUAUAGUAUAUUUCUAAGAGCAUGUCCGCGAGAAACCUGAUUUAUUAAAAUAUUUUGAUAGAGCAUACAAGGCUUUCAGGGUUGAGAGACAUGCUCUUUUCAUCAUAUAGUAUAUUUCUUAGAGCAUGUCUGAGAGAAACCUGAUUUAUUAAAAUAUUUUGAUGUUGGUGAAUAUGCUAAAUCCAAGAAACGGGAGAAUAAGAGAGAAACUCUUGAAAAAAUAAGAUUGAAGUUGAUACAGGGCUUUCAGGAUUGGCGUAGACAAUAUGUAGACCUAGCCAGGAUGACGAAUUUUAUAUGAUUUCUGGGGAGACGGAGGAUACACUUGCUGAAGGAAGAAUUGUGCAAGCAACGGUAUGUAGAGUGCAACCUCAAAGAGCAAUCUGUGGGCUUGAAUUUGGAUUGACUGGUGUGCUUACUAAGGAAGACUUUUCUGAUGAUUGGAGGGACAAUUCUGAUUUGUCUAAGAAGUUGCAUGAAGGUGAGAUUCUUACUUGCAGGAUCAAAUCGAUUCAAAAGAAUAGGUACCAGGUUUUCCUAACAUGUAGAGAAAAUGAGAUGAGCAGUAAACGUUAUCAGAAUAAUCGAGCCUUGGAUCCCUACUACCAUGAAGACAAGAGUAGCUCACAGUUUGAGAAAGAAAAAGCUCGUAAAGAAAAGGAGCUUGCUAAGAAGCAUUUCAAACCGAGGAUGAUUGUUCAUCCUCGUUUUCAAAAUAUAACAGCAGAUGAAGCAAUGGAGAUGGUAGCAAGUUCAUUACGGUAAGCUCUGAUAAGAAGGAUAUACUAUAUGAUGUGAAAACUGGAGAGAAAAUUGGAGAGCUGUCCUCAGAGGAUGGUCAUAAAGGCAGCAUUUACGUUGUUAGCUGGAGCCCUGAUGGUAAACAGCAGUUUUUUGGGCUUUAUUCCGAAACAUCUGGGUGCUAGCACAAUCAUUAAGGCCAAUGGACAAAAAGGAUGUAAGUCAAGCUUCCUAUCUUUGUAUGAUUAGAUGACGGUCACGUACUUUUUAUUGAGUAGGCUCAGGUUCAAUGAUUCAUUCUCUUAUUUAGAUGUUCUUCAUAGCUUGCAAUCGUAGCUACACAAUUGUACAUUUGAACUCUUUGGUUUAGUUGAAUGGAUUCACCAUAGAUGCUUGUUUGGCUUAUUUUGUUACUUUUUCUUGGAUAGGCUCAGGUAUUGUUUUGGGCAUAAUUCAUCUUUGUUUGUGCAUGAUUUGAUGGUUUGCUUCAAGAAAAGUUUCUUUAUAAUGGGGCUUUUGGGGUAAAACUAUGAUUUAUGAUGUCAAGAUUUAUAACUUGCAUAUGAAUUGUCUGAUAAGCCUUCUAUGUAUUUAAUUUGCAAUCUAAUUGCCUGAAUCUAGACUACCAAAAUUGAAUUUAUGAUACAAGGCAAAUAAUCCUCGAACUCUGUUUCAUGCUUUUUGUUCAUAUGCUUUUGGACCAUAAAAUUUUCAUCACUCUCGAUUCUUGUGUUCACAUUCAACUAGUAAUGUCUUCACAUCAAAUCAAACUACUCGUCAUUAGUGAGUAUUCUGUGUUGUGUCACAUAACCUUGAGAACUGUUCUUAUUUGAUCUUUGUUUAUUGUUGUGUCAUAACUCUUGCAAACGCAUUCAUCAAAUUGUUUUUUUAUGCUACUGUUAUCAUCCUCAAGAUAGUUACCUCUCAUCCCUAUGAACAUCAUUGUUCAAGUUAUUUUCAUUUCUUUGCACAUUCUUCCUCUGACGCACAAAAGAUGUACUUGAGGCUGAACCGUGGUGUAAGCCUCUUGAGACUGUUAACUUUUGAUGCCUGAUCUGCUUGAUUCAUCUCCUGGAAUCAUUUUGUACUAUGCAAGAAAGUGUGCAUCUGUUUUGUUAAUUUAGUAAAUGAAAGAUAAAUAGGGAUUUAACUAUAGUUUUCAUAACUUGAUGGAAUGAUUAGGCAAGAUUUCUAUGUAUAAUUUUUGUUACUUCAUGUAAUCUAUGCGAGUGCUGACAUAUAUGCAUUGGCAGCACAAUGAAAAGUCUUUAUCAGCUGGUUUAAUUGGCAAUGACAACACUGCAUCUAUGCUGAAAUCACUGCCAAAUUACAAAUAAGAGUGAUACACUUUAUGUGGAUGGAUUUUAUAUUGCAAGGAAUUGAUACAAGGCCCAAACUUUUGCUGUCUAUAAAAUCAGCCACUAGCCAGUCUCUUUGAGAUGCCUAUCCUUGCAUAUCCUAUCUUAACUUCAUGCUUGAUUCUCUGCUAUACUGGUUUGGUUUUUAACCUUUUAUGGUUGAUAAGCUGCUAAUACUAUUUCAAAUCAUCAGGAAAAUGUGAAGACAAAACAUCCUCAGUUACUUUACGAAUCAAAGCUAUACAGAAUUCUACAGGGAGGAAGUAAUGACUGUUUUUAUUAAUUUUUUAUUUUAGUGGGACAAUUGAUCUGUUAUGAGCUCUUUUGCUCAUAUAUUUGAUACUCUUUUCUGUUUAUAACACUUCUAAAAUAUUACAGCUGGAAUUCCGCAUGUGAGAUGGUUUCGAGUGGAGGGAGACUACAAUGUUCUAGUGAUGGAUUUGCUUGGACCCAGUGUUGAAGAUUUGUUCAAUUUUUGUAGUAGGAAACUUUCUUUAAAGGCUAUUCUUAUGCUUACAGAUCAAAUGGUAACUGCAUUUGAUUUAAUGCAUACUGUUAUUGCAUUUAGAUAAUUCUAAGUUUGUCAACACUUAUACCUGGUAUUUAUUUUAGAUCAAUCGAGUUGAGUCUGUCCAUUCUAAAUCCUUUUUACAUCGGGAUAUCAAGCUAGACAAUUUUCUUAUGGGCUUGGCAAGGCGUGCAACCCAGGUUCCCCGUCAAAACUUCCAUCUUUGUGGUGGUUAAAAAUUUCCCCCCCGAUAUCUGUGUUUAUUAGUCCUUCCAUUUCUCUUUUUUUUUAUGUCUACAUCAUUGACUUUAGUCUGGCUAAAAAAUAUAGAGACUAUGACCCACCAACACAUUCCUUACAGGUGAGAUGAUUUUGAUUAGUUUAUUAUUUAAUGGAUCCUGGUUGCCAUCUAUGCUCUCAUGAACACAUAAACACACUACACGUUAGCUCUGUUCUUUUUCAGAUACUCUUUAGUUGAUGUAGGGUCAACAAUUGAUAUACGAAUAAGUUUAAGAAUACAAAAACCGAUCACUGAAUCGAACACAAUAUAUGUGAAUGGACAAGUUUUUUCACAAACUAACUUUUUAAAAAUCUUGUCUAUUUAUAUGUAUUUUGUGUUUAUUUCUCUCUGUAACACAGGAACAAGUCCAGAAACACAGAAACCGAUCACAAAAUUUUAUAUAAGAUUUUUUAAAAAUGGGCUCUUCCAACUUUUUAAAAAUCUUACUGAAGGACUACCUUGGCGAGACUUGCUGAGCUGCUUUGUCUCAUUGUUUAGGUAUGCCAAUACUUAAUUGUGGUGUAGUCAUCAUCAAAUGUUUGUAAUGUAAUCAUAUAAUUUUUUUCCAUAUGGUUAAUUUUUUUUAUGAGAAUACUUCAUUUUGGAUGUUUUUCUAGAUCCUAACUUUUCUUAUUUUA